UUCUUUCCUGUCCUGACACAGGGUUUUCCUUUGUUACUUCAUGCUGCAAUGCAUUGGCCAGGGGAAGUCCUUAAGCCAGGGCAGACCCUCAUAGGCACCCGGGGCCCUAUCCUCUGACUCAGCAGUCUUUCAGAGGUUCACACUAAACACACACGACUGCCUAAAAAGCAAGGGCGUGAUAAGCAGAUGAAGUCAACAGUGUGGCCAUAUGCUAGACACCGGUAUCUGGUCACUAGUGCUCACUCAAUGCCCACUCAAAGAACAGAAGAGGCUGGCAUAGGAUGGAAGAGACAGAAAGAGAAAGCCAGCGAUCAUCUGCUACAGUGGCCCCCGUGGGGCUGAGGUUCCUUAAACACCAUGUCCACAGGGCCAAGGGACCUCUGAAAUAGCUGUUGUCUGGAGGACAGAAGACUCUGAGGACAGGGUGUGUGACCUCUCAAGGUCUCUGUGGUUGCCGAUUCCACAGGGACGCUGGUGGGAGUAAGCAAAGCCAUAGGAGUUGGCUUUCAUUUCCUAGUGAAGAGACAUCUAGAAAUGAUAAUGAUAUCCCCACUGUGUAAGAGCAGGACUUUCUUCUGUACCAAGCUGUCUGAACAACAGGCCAUUAGCAGGGAGAACAAACAGUUCCACUUAGCUCGGGACAUAGCAUUUACCUGCCCAUCGUGAAACAGCACAGCGUCGCUCCCGAACAGAGACCCUUACCUCAUUUGCUGUGUUGUGCGUUCCCACGAUUCGGAUGAAGGAGGCGGGCUGUCUUUCAAAAGUUACAGAUUGCCAGGACCUGUGAGCGGAAGCACAACCACGUGCCUGGUUAGAAGGUGUUCCAUCUUCUCUCUCACUAUGAGCCGCCCACUGAGACUGAUUCACUGCUGCCUGGACACCCAGGCCCCUUAAGGUCAAGGGAAGUGAGAGUUCCAUGCUGCGUGGGGCAGGAGACGCCCAUCCCCACUCCUAAGGGAGGCUACGGCACACACCAAGGCUGGGCCACCGCCUGCGUCUCAGGAAAGGGAGACACAGCCAGGACAAGGGACAGCAGCCACCGACAACUAUCGUGUUCAAGUCAGCUUCACAAAAGGACUGGGGUGCAGAGGGGCUGGGAGCGGCGGAGGUGGAGGCCGUGUUCUUAGAUUUCUAGCUGCGUGCCUACCCAGAAAAUCUUGGAGAGCUCCGGACACAAAGGUCCAACUCGGCACCUGUAAGCUCACGACGCCCAACAACACGCUUGCGGCUCCGAGGUGCGGGCGGAUCCGAACUGUGCCUCCUGCUCCCCCACAACACGCCCGGGAGCCAGGGCAGCGAAGGAAGGGAGGUCCGGCCGGGAGUGGCCUCGGGCAGAGCCAGGCUCCCGAGGAGGGCUGGGGGCUCGGGUCGCCUCCGCCCCUCGCCUGUGCUUGGGGACAGCAGCCUGAGCAGGAGGGAGCAUUUGUGGAGUAAUAAGAUCAGAAGGCCUCAAUUUAAUACCAAUCCUCCAUUACGCUGCAUUAAUAUCUAAUCACAUUAGAGUUCAUUUUCACUAACACAGCCUGAGAGCUGAAAGAUGAUUUCAUUUUCAGCAAA